GGGUGAGUAACACGUAGGGAACCUGCCCGUGCACCGNGAAUACGCUCUGGAAACGGAGAACAAAUCCCGAUGUACAGGAAGGAGGCAUCUUCUUUCUGUGAAACAUCCUUUAGGGGAUGUGGCGCGGAUGGACCUGCGGUGCAUUAGUUGGUUGGCGGGGUAAAGGCCCACCAAGACGAUGAUGCAUAGCCGGCCUGAGAGGGCGGACGGCCACAUUGGGACUGAGACACGGCCCAGACUCCUGCGGGAGGCAGCAGUAGGGAAUUUUCGUCAAUGGGCGCAAGCCUGAACGAGCGAUGCCGCGUGAGUGAAGAAGGCCUUCGGGUCGUAAAGCUCUGUUGCGGGGGAAAAAAGGCAGCAUCAGGAAAUGGGUGCUGACUGAUGGUGCCCCGCCAGAAAGUCACGGCUAACUACGUGCCAGCAGCCGCGGUAAUACGUAGGUGGCGAGCGUUAUCCGGAAUGAUUGGGCGUAAAGGGUGCGCAGGCGGUCCUGCAAGUCUGGAGUGAAACGCAUGAGCUCAACUCAUGCAUGGCUUUGGAAACUGGAGGACUGGAGAGCAGGAGAGGGCGGUGGAACUCCAUGUGUAGCGGUAAAAUGCGUAGAUAUAUGGAAGAACGCCAGUGGCGAAGGCGGCCGCCUGGCCUGUUGCUGACGCUGAGGCACGAAAGCGUGGGGAGCAAAUAGGAUUAGAUACCCUAGUAGUCCACGCCGUAAACGAUGAGGACCAAGUGUUGGGG
rnacentral:rRNA from 1 species